GUAUUCAAUGCAAUUAAGCACUAAUGCACCGGAUCCCAUCAGAACUCCGCAGCUAAGCGUGCUUGGGCGAGAGUAGUACUAGGAUGGGUGACCUCCCGGGAAGUCCUCGUGUUGCACCCC
rfam:Brassica napus, WGS project CCCW01000000 data, contig: 6309